rnacentral:tRNA from 1 species
AACGGUGUAGCUCAGUUAGUUUAGAGUGCCUGUCUAUCGAACAGGAGGUCGCGGGCGCAAAUCCCGUCACCCUCG